UAACAGUUAUAUUGUUGAGUGGGAAAUUACAACUAACAUUUACGUUACAUGUAACGUUGUGUUUGGUAGGAAUAUAAUGUUUCUUUCAAGAUUUUCAAUGUUUUUCCUUGUUUUUAUUGAAUAUCCAUUUGUUGUCAAUUUGAUACCAAUUCGAUACUCGCGAGAGUUGCAGUGAAAAGCGCCGCGGUGCGGUACGUCGCCACACCGCGGUCUGCUCUUUUAACCUCUUUUCGUCUUUCGUCCCUAUCUUGUUACCGGCCGGCUAAAGUGGGCAAAAGUGUACAACGUGUAUCAUCGCUUUAUAUAGACUAUUAUUAUUGUUUCCUGUAAAAAAGAAAGUUUCGAAACGUAGUCGCAACUAUAAGAAGCUGGCUAAAGUACGAGUAUACCACGUGUAUCUGCAUAUAUUGCUUUAAAUCAUAGACUAUUGCUUCUUGUAAAAAAGGAACUGAAGUAAAAUUGUACGUUUCGAAAGAUAGCCACAGCUAUAAAAGAAGCUGGCUAAAGUAUAUAACGUGUGUGCCUGCAUAUAAGUGCACGAUGUCAGAGAAUAGGCCUGUAUUUUUUCCAAAAUUACCAUUAUUAAUUUUAUUAUCAUGAUUCUACUCAAAAUGUUUCUCUCAAGUGGUUUGUAAUGGCCGUUUUACAAUGAGUACUUUAGUCGUAAUUCAACAGUAUGGCUAUUUGGGAGUCAUAAGUCGUUAAUCGUAGCAAAUUUAUAUCUAAAAUGAAAUAAUAUAGUUUAUAAUUACAAAUAACACAGUUUUAUUUGCCUUAUAACACGAUUAUAACUUAAUUCCGUUUCCAAUAUCUGAUCAACGACUAACAACUCAUUGCAAAACGACUAUAUAUAUUUUGAUUUGCGCUUGCUGUGUCAUUGUCGAUUCUUGAUCCUUGAUAAAAAUGCCCUAUUGUUUUAGGAUUUUAAGAAAAAGUUAUAUUCCUUAAGACAAGAAUUGUGUGUCAUUCUUUGCUAAACAUACCUGGCAUGUUUGCGAUGUAAAAUGACUUGGCUAAAAAUUUGCUGUUUUAUUAGCUGUUUUAUCUGACGCUACGAGAUCGAAAGCUUUCGAAUCCUGAGAACUUAUUUUCUUCCCCUUAAUUUUAAGGAUAACUGUUAAAAAUAAGUCAUGUACAAUUUAAACAAAUUGUCCCAAACUAUUUUAUUCUAUUUUGGAUCUGAAUACUAGUACAGAUCCGAUAG